rnacentral:rRNA from 1 species
GACGAUCGCUGGCGGCGUGCCUAAUACAUGCAAGUCGAGCGAGCUUGCCUAGAUGAAUUUGGUGCUUGCACCAAAUGAAACUAGAUACAAGCGAGCGGCGGACGGGUGAGUAACACGUGGGUAACCUGCCCAAGAGACUGGGAUAACACCUGGAAACAGAUGCUAAUACCGGAUAACAACACUAGACGCAUGUCUAGAGUUUAAAAGAUGGUUCUGCUAUCACUCUUGGAUGGACCUGCGGUGCAUUAGCUAGUUGGUAAGGUAACGGCUUACCAAGGCAAUGAUGCAUAGCCGAGUUGAGAGACUGAUCGGCCACAUUGGGACUGAGACACGGCCCAAACUCCUACGGGAGGCAGCAGUAGGGAAUCUUCCACAAUGGACGCAAGUCUGAUGGAGCAACGCCGCGUGAGUGAAGAAGGGUUUCGGCUCGUAAAGCUCUGUUGGUAGUGAAGAAAGAUAGAGGUAGUAACUGGCCUUUAUUUGACGGUAAUUACUUAGAAAGUCACGGCUAACUACGUGCC